GAAAACUUGGAAACUACCGUUAGAUCGAGAAAUGGACAUCCGAGAUUCGUCCACGUUACUAUGAGUUAAAAUUUAACUCCUAGUAAAAUUUUAACUCAUGAGUAAAUCUGCGAGUUAAAUUUUAACUUAUGGUGACGUAAACAAAUCUCGGACGUCCAUUUCUCGAUCCAACGGUAGUUUUCAAGUUUCC
rnacentral:pre_miRNA from 1 species